rnacentral:rRNA from 1 species
GACAGAGGGUGCAAACGUUGCUCGGAAUUACUGGGCGUAAAGCGCGUGUAGGCGGGUCGGUGUGUCGGGUGUGAAAUCCCCAGGCUCAACCUGGGAACUGCAUUCGAAACUACCGGCCUAGAGUGGUGGAGAGGGAAGUGGAAUUCCUGGUGUAGAGGUGAAAUUCGUAGAUAUCAGGAGGAACACCAGUGGCGAAGGCGGCUUCCUGGACAACAACUGACGCUGAGACGCGAAAGCGUGGGGAGCAAACAGG